rnacentral:rRNA from 1 species
GUUCCUGGCUCAGGAUGAACGCUAGCUACAGGCUUAACACAUGCAAGUUGAGGGGCAGCAUGGUCUUAGCUUGCUAAGGCCGAUGGCGACCGGCGCACGGGUGAGUAACGCGUAUCCAACCUGCCUUACACUCUUGGACAGCCUUCUGAAAGGGAGAUUAAUACAAGAUGUUAUCAUGAGUAAGCAUUUUCGCAUGAUUAAAGGUUUACCGGUGUAAGAUGGGGAUGCGUUCCAUUAG